rnacentral:rRNA from 1 species
GAUGAACGCUGGCGGCGUGCCUAAUACAUGCAAGUCGAGCGACCGGACGAGAAGCUUGCUUCUCUGAUGUUAGCGGCGGACGGGUGAGUAACACGUGGAUAACCUACCUAUAUGACUGGGAUAACUUCGGGAAACCGGAGCUAAUACCGGAUCAUAUUUUGAACCGCAUGGUUCAAAAGUGAAAGACGGUCUUGCUGUCACUUAUAGAUGGAUCCGCGCUGCAUUAGCUAGUUGGUAAGGUAACGGCUUACCAAGGCAACGAUGCAUAGCCGACCUGAGAGGGUGAUCAGCCACACUGGAACUGAGACACGGUCCAGACUCCUACGGGAGGCAGCAGUAGGGAAUCUUCCACAAUGGGCGAAAGCCUGACGGAGCAACGCCGCGUGAGUGAUGAAGGUCUUCGGAUCGUAAAACUCUGUUAUUAGGGAAGAACAUAUGUGUAAGUAACUGUGCACAUCUUGACGGUACCUAAUCAGAAAGCCACGGCUAACUUCGUG